rnacentral:rRNA from 1 species
AUUGAACGCUGGCGGCAGGCCUAACACAUGCAAGUCGAACGAGUGGCGGAAGGGAGAGUAAUGUCUGUGCCACUGCCCGAUGGAGGGCGGCAACUACUGGAAACGGUAGCUACUACCGCCUACCAUCGGCUGUGCCCAGAUGGGAUUAUCUAGUAGGGGGGGUAACGGCUCACCUAGGCGACGAUCCCUAGCUGGUCUGAGAGGAUGACCAGCCACACUGGAACUGAGACACGGGCCAGACUCCUACGGGAGGCAGCAGUGGGGAAUAUUGCACAAUGGGCGAAAGCCUGAUGCAGCCAUGCCGCGUGUAUGAAGAAGGCCUUCGGGUUGUAAAGUACUUUAAGCGAGGAGGCGUUACUCGCAGAAGAAGCACCGGCUAACUCCGUGCCAGCAGCCGCGGUAAUUC